AUACAGAGGGUGCAAGCGUUAUUCGGAAUUACUGGGCGUAAAGCGCGCGUAGGCGGAUGAUUAAGUCAGUUGCGAAAGCCCUGGGCUCAACCUAGGAACUGCAUCUGAUACUGGUCAUCUAGAGUUUAAGAGAGGGAAGUGGAAUUCCAGGUGUAGCAGUGAAAUGCGUAGAUAUCUGGAGGAACAUCAGUGGCGAAGGCGACUUCCUGGCUUAGAACUGACGCUGAGGUGCGAAAGCGUGGGUAGCGAACGGGAUUAGAAACCCUAGUAGUCC
rnacentral:rRNA from 1 species